rnacentral:rRNA from 1 species
UACGGAGGGGGCGAGUGUUGUUCGGAAUUACUGGGCGUAAAGGGCGCGCAGGCGGCUUGGCAAGUCGAGUGUGAAAUCCCUUGGCUUAACUAAGGAAUGGCGCUCGAAACUACCUCGCUAGAGGGCGGGAGAGGGAAGUGGAACUCUCGGUGUAGGGGUGAAAUGCGCAGAUAUCGGGAGGAACACCUAUGGCGAAGGCAGCUCGCUGGGACGUUACUGACGCUGAGACGCGAAGGCGUGGGGAGCAAACAGG